AGGACGAACGCUGGCGGCGUGCUUAACACAUGCAAGUCGAGCGGAAAGGCCCUUCGGGGUACUCGAGCGGCGAACGGGUGAGUAACACGUGAGCAACCUGCCCUUAGCUUCGGGAUAGCUCCGGGAAACCGGAAUUAAUACCGAAUAUGACUUUGGCUGACAUCAGCAGAAGUGGAAAGUUUUCGGCUAGGGAUGGACUCGCGGCCUAUCAGCUAGUUGGUGAGGUAACGGCCCACAAGGCGACGACGGGUA
rnacentral:rRNA from 1 species